UCACACUUUACAGGCAGCAGCAGAGAAGGCUCAUUGUCUGAAGUAACCGUUGGACUGUGCUUCUGCCUGGAUGUAGUGCUGGGCAGCAAUGAAAGUUACAGACAUAAGUACAAGCCCCUGGGAGGAGUCAACUCAGGCACCUGGUUAAGGAGAGAAAGUUCUUUUUGUAGGAACUACAGCACCCAACAUGGCACCCAGCAGUGUGCGCACAGCACCAGAUGACAACAGAAAGCAAAGCAAAUGGCUGUAUCCUUCAACACCAACUUAUUACAGUUUUAUCAGACCCUUCCAUCUGAAGGAUUGCAUCAUGUUAUUUUACGUCUGGACAAGAACAAACUUCAUCUUUGCCUCCUGAUCUUCUUGGUUAAAAUGGAUUGGAAGAUUUGAUCUGACAAGAGACCCUAUCUGUUGGAGUAUUGUCAGAAAAGUGGUUAUGUAAAAACAACACCCUCUUACCACAUUACAUUGUGCAUUUCUGAGCCAAAAUUGUUGACUUUACUCACAAAAAACAGGUUUGUAUUCCUGUUAUCCCUGCAGAGCCAACAGUUAUGAGCACCCUAACUGGACUUUAUUCUGCCUCCUACACCAUAAUCAACAUUGUCUGCAAAGCCCUCAUUGCAGAACCUUUACCUUUGGAGCUGAUGUUAGAGGAACAAUACAGGGAGAAACUGCAACAGAAGAAAAAGGGCAGUGGCAAGAGAGGUUUCUUCAAAUUAUUGGGCCUACAACUAGAAGACAAAAGUGGCUAGUUCACGUCACAAUGGUCUUCGUAUUGCCAAGCAGGACACAGAGGCUUCAAGGCAGAGACAAAGCAUCACUCACAAAGCUACAAAACUGUCCCAUUUCUAAACCAAUGGAAAGCAACACAGAGAAUUUUUAAAAAGAUCUUGAAAACGUCGUCAGGGCUAAAACAAAAUUUGUUUCUGGUAUGAUGCUAAAUUUCCAUUCCAAGUCACUGUAACAGUCCUGCUGGGAAAUUUGCUUCUGAAAUGCACACUGUGGGUUUUGUUUGUUGUUGUUUCUUGUUUUUUAAAUUAUGAGUACUGGGUAGAAUCUGAAUGAGAUAUUCUUCCCUCCCCCCAGGGUUCACUCUUGUAUUAGCAGAAAUCAAACAGGCUAGCCAUGUCUCUCUAACUAAUCUUCAGUCUGACACUGUUCACAUAGUACAGCUUUCGCUGCAGGAAGAGCCAGAAUUGGGCAAAUGCGUUUGCCCUCCAGCAAGUGAGGGAAACAAACAGGAAGAAUGCUACUUGCAUCUACUCUACUUUUAAUUUCUUGUUAGAGAGAAAACUAAAUUGUGAAGGAAAGAAUAAUAAUUCAUGAAGGUAAGCGGUAAAGGGGAUGUAAUGCAACAUGCAUUUAUCAAAGAUAGAUCAUGCCAUAUUAACUCGAUUUCCUUCUUUCAGAAAAUAACUUUUUUAGCUAGGAAAGAUUUACUGUACCUAAACUUCAGUAAUGCGUUUGACA